rnacentral:rRNA from 1 species
GAUGAACGCUAGCUACAGGCUUAACACAUGCAAGUCGAGGGGCAGCAUGGUCUUAGCUUGCUAAGGCCGAUGGCGACCGGCGCACGGGUGAGUAACACGUAUCCAACCUGCCGUCUACUCUUGGACAGCCUUCUGAAAGGAAGAUUAAUACAAGAUGGCAUCAUGAGUCCACAUGUUCACAUGAUUAAAGGUAUUCCGGUAGACGAUGGGGAUGCGUUCCAUUAGAUAGUAGGCGGGGUAACGGCCCACCUAGUCUUCGAUGGAUAGGGGUUCUGAGAGGAAGGUCCCCCACAUUGGAACUGAGACACGGUCCAAACUCCUACGGGAGGCAGCAGUGAGGAAUAUUGGUCAAUGGGCGAGAGCCUGAACCAGCCAAGUAGCGUGAAGGAUGACUGCCCUAUGGGUUGUAAACUUCUUUUAUACGGGAAUAAAGUUUCCUACGUGUAGGAUUUUGUAUGUACCGUAUGAAUAAGCAUCGGCUAACUCCGUGCCAG